UGUUUCGGCUAGGGGGCCAUCCCGGCUUACCAACCCGAUGCAAACUGCGAAUACCGGAGAAUGUUAUCACGGGAGACACACGGCGGGUGCUAACGUCCGUCGUGAAGAGGGAAACAACCCAGACCGCCAGCUAAGGUCCCAAAGUCAUGGUUAAGUGGGAAACGAUGUGGGAAGGCCCAGACAGCCAGGAUGUUGGCUUAGAAGCAGCCAUCAUUUAAAGAAAGCGUAAUAGCUCACUGGUCGAGUCGGCCUGCGCGGAAGAUGUAACGGGGCUAAACCAUGCACCGAAGCUGCGGCAGCGACACUGUGUGUUGUUGGGUAGGGGAGCGUUCUGUAAGCCUGUGAAGGUGUGCUGUGAGGCAUGCUGGAGGUAUCAGAAGUGCGAAUGCUGACAUAAGUAACGAUAAAGCGGGUGAAAAGCCCGCUCGCCGGAAGACCAAGGGUUCCUGUCCAACGU
rnacentral:rRNA from 1 species